rnacentral:tRNA from 1 species
UUCUAAUAUGGCAGAUUAGUGCAUUGAACUUAAACCUCAAAUAUAAAGCUUAAACUUUUUUUAGAAA